rnacentral:snRNA from 1 species
ACUCUGUUUUUUCUUCAGAUCGCAUAAAUCUUUUUUGCCUUUUACUAAAGAUUUCCAUGGAGAGGAACAGAUUACUACUUUCUGCAUGCUGUUUAUUUGUAUAGUC